rnacentral:lncRNA from 1 species
GGUGAAGUCCUGCAGCAGAAAGGCCGAGAACACCCUGUACCACUCACUCUGGUGGAGCAGCUGCCUAUUGUCCUGAACCUCCUGUAAGAUGACCUCGUAGCAGGCCCAGGCACUGCAGGAAGUUGCUGGGUGCGUGGAGGUGGAUGCUGUUCUCAGAUGUCACACACACAGAGCCAGCAUCUCACGCCAGUGACAGAGCCGCUGAGGUGUGAUGAAGGCCGGAUUUGCAACUUAAUGGGCCCUGACCUAGGAACCCAGUUUGGCUGCUAGAGGUUUCUGGUCCUCAAAUAACAAUAACCACCUCCUGGGGCUAUCAUGAGAAUUUUAUGAGAUAAUGCAUCAAAAACUCUUAGCAGAGACCUUGACUCAUGGCGAGUUCUCAGUAAGUUGUGAGACUAUGCACCAACUUCCUUUACGGGAUGAAUACGGAACACUGGUUGAUUUGCUCACGUUUCCAACCUGGGACACUCGAUGCCACUGACUUAUAUAUCUGCAUAGCCCGCCAGCCUGCGAGUCCUUCCAGCUCUGCUUGCUAAAUUGUCACAUCUGCCCUAGAAGAUGUCAGUCACCCAGUGGAAAUGUCUCCAGGGAAGUGGAUAUUCCUGCUAGAAGUGGACUGGGUGGGAGUUGGGAGUCUCAGUGUAUUCUCUGGCUGCUCUCGUCACUUGCCCGCUGCAUGAUUUCUCUUUGCUUAAUGUUUAAUUUCUCUCAGGGGCCUGGAUGAGCUGGGUUAAAUAACUCUGGUGAGGGAGCCUGGAGGAUCACUGGGGAAAGUCAUCGUCUUUGUCCUCAGCAGUGUAUUUAAUCCUCUGAACUUUAGGUUUCCCUCUCUUCCCUCCCUCCCUCCCUCCCUCCCUCCCUCCCUCCCUUCCUUCCUUCCUUCCUUCUUUCUUUCCUUCCUUCCUUCCUUCUUUCCUUGACAAGGUCUCAUUCUGUCACCCAGGCUGGAGUGCAGUGGCAUGAUCUCAGCUCACUGCAGCCUUGACCUCCUGGGCUUAAGCGAUCCUCCCACCUCAGCCUCCUGAGUAGCUGGGACUACCUGUGCACACCACCAUGCCUGGCUAAUUUUUGUAUUUGUUGUAGAGUCAGGGUCUCACUAUGUUGGCCAGGUUGGUCUUGAAUUCUUGGGCUCAAGUGAUCCUCCCACCUCGGCCUCCCAAAGUGCUGGGACUACAGGCAUGAGCCACCACACCCAGCCAACUUUAAGUUCUUUAUGCUGUCAUGCAGGCCUGCAUGGCCCAAUGGAUCAGCUCCAGACUUUGUGGCCAUAAAAAGCCGCGUGAGCAAGUGCAUCACAAGCACAUGCCAAGGAGAGGCAGAAGGAAGCAUUUUGGUGCUUGUCUGGAGAAGGCUGAAUGGAACUGGGGAGGAGGUUUUUGGAUCUGUGUGAGCCCAUCCCAGUGAAGAAGCAAAGAGCCACUCUUUCUAGUGCUGGGCGUGUAGAGCUUGGGGCUUUGCAAUCCGAAUGGGUUUGAGAAGUGGGCAGGCCUACAGCUGUUGGCCGAGUGCUCAGAGGCUGCAGACAUGCUUGUUCUUGUAUGUGAGAUGUGGCAAUGACAAGAAGAGAGAGGUUAGGAGGCUGAUGCGGCUCCUCCAAGCCUAGGGAUGGACUCUUGGGGUUCUGCCUCCUGGAGGGGCAGGAGUGACCCAGACCCUUCUGCAACAGCUCCAGCUCCUGGAGGAUGGGGCGCCAGCUGCCCUGAGUGGUGCUGGCCACUGUGCCACCUGGCUGUCGCCCUCUAAGAAGGUCCUGCUGUCAUGCCUUCCUCCUGACUGCUGACAAAUAUUCUCGGGGGAAGAAGCUGGUACGGAGCCUACUGGUUGUGCUCUGAGAAACCUCUUCCAUGGCUAAAACCAAAUUUCAGGAUAGAUAAGAGCAGCUCCUCAGAAGAGAAAGUUGGGAAUCUCUGACCUGGAUCAGGAGCAAACACAUCCAAGCCCCUAAUGGUGCAUAAGCGCGGUGUUAAACGGCUCUGUUCCCGGCCAGCCCGGACCAAACCUACAGCCCAAAGGGGGAAGAAAACCCAUCAACGAAAUCACUUUUAAGAUCCAUGGUUGUCCCCCAUUCGAUAACCAUGAAUCGACUGUCCAGGCUGCAUUUAUCCAGCUGCAAGAAUUCUAAAGAGAAUGAGUUGCCCACUGAUGCCCCUGGGCUGGGCCCAAGGUGUGGGGCCAGGUGUGAGGAGCUGUACCGGCCCCAGGAGGCGCCCAUGUGGAGAAUCUCUGUCCUUUGCACCUGGACCUGUGGGCUUUGAGAGCUCGGGCCCCAAUUAUGGCCAGAGCUAGGGUUGGUCUUCCUCUGCCCUGCAAAUCCCAGAUGUAGUAAGCAUUCAGUACAUUGUGUUAAUAAAUAUCCAUAAACUUG